CCUGCGGGAGGCAGCAGUGAGGAAUAUUGGUCAAUGGGCGCGAGCCUGAACCAGCCAAGUCGCGUGAGGGAAGACGGUCCUAUGGAUUGUCAACCUCUUUUGUCGGGGAGCAAAAGACGCCACGCGUGGCGUUCCGAGAGUACCCGAAGAAAAAGCAUCGGCUAACUCCGUGCCAGCAGCCGCGGUAAUACGGAGGGUGCAAGCGUUGUCCGGGAUCAUUGGGCGUAAAGAGUUCGUAGGCGGUAUGUUAAGUCUGGUGUUAAAUGCAGAAGCUCAACUUCUGUUCGGCACUGGAUACUGGCAAACUAGAAUGCGGUAGAGGUAAAGGGAAUUCCUGGUGUAGCGGUGAAAUGCUUAGAUAUCAGGAGGAACAUCGGUGGCGUAAGCGCUUUACUGGGCCGUAAUUGACGCUGAGGAACGAAAGCCAGGGUAGCAAAUGGGAUUAGAUACCCGUGUAGUC
rnacentral:rRNA from 1 species